AGAUGACUUGCCCAAGGUCCCACAGCCAGUAAUUUGAAUGCAGGCAGUCAAACCAAGGAGGAAGCAGGGAGCAGCUGUGCCUGGAUGGGCGAGGGUGGAGGACUGCACAGGUCAGGGAGCUCGUUCUGGCUCCUGCCAGGGGAGUCGGGCAUGCAGUGUGUGAAAGGUCUCCUGGUUCCUGGGAGUGUUGGCUGUGAUGACAUCAUCCUAGAAGUCACUGACUGGAUUGGCAAUGGGGCUGAUGCUGAGUGCCUGGCACGCUAUGUGCUGGGCACUGGGCUACACAACGGACACUGAAUACUUUCCAUAGACAACCCUGCACGAUGCAUGACCUUGGGCAAGUUACUUGACCUUUGUGGGCCUCAGUUGCCUUGUCAGUAAAUUGGGGAUAAUAAUAGGACUCACUUCCCAGGAAUAAAUGACUUUCUCCAAGUAAAGCAAC
rnacentral:lncRNA from 10 species